ensembl:lncRNA CASC15 cancer susceptibility 15
UGUGGUUGGUUGUGGUGCGUUCAAGAUUCCUCGCCUAAGAUGAGGUUCCUGAGCUUCCAGUAGGCGACUGACUGCCCAAGAGACCCAGGGCUCCGCAAGGAGACGGCGCAGGUGUCGGGGCUCCCCGCAGGCCGGGAAAAAGUGUCCGAACGCCUCGUGGACUGCAGCGGGGGAAAUGUCCCUUAAAAGUGCGACGAAGUGGGGAAGAAGCCAACAAUAUGGAAGUACCAAUACAAGGUCAAAUCAUUCCUGGAUUCAUCUGGAGUUGCUUAAAAGUUAAAUCAUUGGAAUUUUUGAUGAUACCUUUUCUAUAUGGAUUACAAUUUGAUCGCUGGGAAUUCUCCACCUUAAAGAAGUACCCUCAGGUGACUACAGAUGUGUUAACACCCAGCAUGUUCCGGUAGGAGACUUUCUGGAUGGGGAAGAUUUCCAGGAAUUGGCAACAAGCUCAUUUCACUGGUGGGUUUGCUGAAGCAUUAUCACAAGACAGUCAGAAUGACUGAUGAGUGCUCUUCAGGUGUGAAUCAUGGCAAUACAGUGAAAGACAGUGAUUUACUGCUUUUGAGGGCGUGCAUGUAUAUGAUUAACGGAUGGAAGUGCAGGACUCCAAGAUUUACUUCCUUCCCUUUCCAGCAGAAUUACCUGAGACGAGUAAAAUCUACUGGUGGAGUCACUCCAUUAUUCUUAUCUGUGGAGAUCUAGAUCUUGAUUUGAAAGUUUCUGAGAAAAUCUUCAGCUCAGACUUGAGGGUCAACUUUACCAGCUGAAGGAUCUGCAUUUACUGCUCAACCACAUCUAAUUUGAUGUCCUCUGCAGAUUUAAAAUGUGUGCCUUCUUUUCCGUCACCAAGUCAUCCCUGGGUUACUACUGAACAUCCUUCUCAAUUCCCCCCGACCCAUGGAUGGCUGUUCUCCAUUGUCUGUUUCACCAGAUGUCCUCAAAACAAACAGACAGAAGAAGGAAGUGGCUAAUGGUUCGAUGCCUUCUCCAUCCGUCAGUGAGGGUGUGGAGAGCCUGCAGGCGUGUGCCUCCCUCUGUAACUUGCUAUUCCUUGUGUAAUGUCAAGUGGAAGUGUGAAGCACCACAAACUGCUCUGAGCAGAGCCCACUUCCCUUCACCCACGGAGAGCGUGAAGCAGUUACACCAACAUCAAUCAAGGAAAACCCACAGGCUGAGCUCACACGGUUGAAGCAGGAAGUUGAAGAUUUGUCCAGGAGCAGAUAGCUGAAGAGAGAGAGAGAGAAGAGAGAACGGCUUACAGCUCAGGUCCUCUCUCCAUGCUUAGGAACCACUACAAAUGCUACUGCCUUGAGUCUCAUUUUGUUUCCCUCUGGAAACCACAUGUGUACCUUGUUUGCAACAGUAUGGGCUCACAGGCAGAAGGAAUUUUCCUUGUCUUGGAUGAGACUUUUGACUUGGACUUUUGGGUUAAGUUCUGGAGACCAGAAGGCCAAAAUCAAAAGUAUGGGCAGGCUUGAUUUCUUUAGAAGACUCCAGCGGAGAACUGUGUCUCCUUGCUUCUGAUUCUACAUCUCCAUCCAUGGGCCACUGUUUCAGCAACCUCAGCCAGUGCAACACAACCUCAGCCAAGAAGAGUAUGCAGAGAAAGGAGUCCCCUACCUGCCACAAAACUGUUGUCUGAAAACUGUCUCAUAUUGUCUCAAGUUGUCAUUCAUUGUGAAUUAGACCUGUUUAACAUGUAAUCUGCAACAUGCUUCACUGUCUAAUUUUCCAGAGCCCCUCAUAUAAGGAACUGUAUUAUUGGUAUAAUCAUCAUGGUGAAGAAGUUGGUAUGUGGGGGAGAGAUGACAGAAACAGAGAGUAAGUCAGAGCUGGCUGCCUGACAGAUAAAAAGGAAAUGACCAAAAAAAAAAAAAAAGACACAGAAGAAUACUUUGUUGUCCACACAGAAAAGGGAAGUGUAGGUAAGACAGCAGUAGACUAAGAUUCUUAAGACUCAAGUUCUAGUCUUAUUUAUUAGCUAUGGGAGGCCUUGAGGGAGUUCUAGAAUUAAGUGAUCUCUCUUUAUAAAAUAGGAACAGUAAUAACUUCCUGGCUAACUCCCUGGCUGUCUCACAAUGCUGUAGUAGUAAGAAAUAAUUUUAUAAUUAAAGACUAUUUUAGGGCUGAUUACAUUUUUGGGCAGUGGCUCAUACAUGUAAUUUCAACAUUUUGGGAGGCCAAGGUGGGCGGAUUGCUUGAGCCCAGGAAUUCAAGACCAGGCUGGGCAACACAGACCUUGUCACUACAAAAGAAAAAAACAUUAGCUAGGCGUGGUGAUGUAUGCCUGUGGUCCCAGCUACUCAGGAAGCUGAGACAGGAGGAUCACCUGAGCCUGGGAGGUCGAGGCUACAGUGAGCCAUGAUCACACUACUGCACUCCAGCCUGGGAAACAGAGUGAGACUCUGUCUCAAAAAAAAAAAAAAAGGAAUAUUUUACACUUCAAGGUUCUAUACAAAUGUAAAAUAUCAUUCUAUUACUUAUUUAUAAUGCUGAUUAUUCUUUAAAUGACUUUAAAAUGUUAAUCUCUGCUUGAGCCUACGGAGAAGUAUGUAACAAAUUUGUGAAGGAUUGGCAUUAAACAUAGUCAAAAUAAAACAUAGAAAUUAUGG